rnacentral:rRNA from 1 species
AUGUCGACUACAGGGAUAAUCAAAGUCUCCGCUGCGUGCCCUGUCUUCGAUGGCACUGAUUACCCCUACUGGAAGAAUAAGAUGUGCAUGCAUCUUGAAGCCAUUGAUGUCGAUCUAUGGUAUGUCGUCAAGAACGGCGUUCCCAAGACUGGUGAAGGUGUCACCCCUGCUGAUGUCAAGAAGUUCGUUCAACUGGAUUCUACUGCCAAGAACAUCAUCUGUGGUCAUCUGACCAAAGGACAGUAUGGUCGUGUGAGCGCUCUGGAAACUUCGAAGCUAGUCUGGGACUGGCUCUCCAAGGUCAACGAAGGUGUCUCAACCCAGAGAGAUCAAAGGAUCAGUGUUCUUCACAACCUCUUCAACCGCUUCAAGAGAAACGACAAUGAGAAUGUCCAGCUCACGUUUGAUCGCCUCACUGACAUCACAAAUGAGCUUCAUGCUCUCGGC